CCCCUCGAUUUCGGGCCGGCGCUGCCCUAUAUUGGCUUUGCUCACCUUCGGGUGGCUAUGGCGAUAAACGGUAUUUGGAAUAAGCAUUGCGGACCCGGGGGCAGUGCCCGGCGUCUCCACCAAUUCAACCGCCAGGGAUCGUAUGGCGGCGGCAUGGGGACGAAACAGCUUCGACGCGUGCGGUAAAGACUUACCUUUUGCCCGGCAUUGUACCGCCGUUAUCGGGCUAAAUCACAAGUGCCAACGAUAACAGCCGCGAGGCUGUGGCGCUCGCUGCCUAACAAUAGGUAAGCGCGGUCCGGGGGGAACCGGGCAACAGAAUCCCCCCACU
rnacentral:tmRNA from 1 species